AUUGAACGCUGGCGGCAGGCCUAACACAUGCAAGUCGAACGAGUGGUGGACGGGUGAGUAAUGUCUGGGAAACUGCCUGAUGGAGGGGGAUAACUACUGGAAACGGUAGCUAAUACCGCAUACCAUCAGAUGUGCCCAGAUGGGAUUAGCUAGUUGGUGGGGUAACGGCUCACCAAGGCGACGAUCCCUAGCGGGUCUGAGAGGAUGACCAGCCACAAUGGAACUGAGACACGGUCCAGACUCCUACGUGAGGCAGCAGGGGGGAAUAUUGCACAAUGGGCGCAAGCCUGAUGCAGCCAUGUCGCGUGUAUGAAGAAGGCCUUCGGGUUGUAAAGUACUUUCAGCGGGGAGGCGUUACCCGCAGAAGAAGCACCGGCUAACUCCGUGCCAGCCGCCGCGGUAAUUC
rnacentral:rRNA from 1 species